rnacentral:rRNA from 1 species
AUUGAACGCUGGCGGCAUGAUUUACACAUGCAAGUCGAACGGUAACAGGCCGCAAGGUGCUGACGAGUGGCGAACGGGUGAGUAAUGCAUCGGAACGUGCCCAGUCGUGGGGGAUAACUACUCGGAAGAGUAGCUAAUACCACAUACGAUCUAUGGAUGAAAGCGGGGGACCGUAAGGCCUCGCGCGAUUGGAGCGGCCGAUGUCAGAUUAGGUAGUUGGUGGGGUAAAGGCUCACCAAGCCAACGAUCUGUAGCUGGUCUGAGAGGACGACCAGCCACACUGGGACUGAGACACGGCCCAGACUCCUACGGGAGGCAGCAGUGGGGAAUUUUGGACAAUGGGCGCAAGCCUGAUCCAGCAAUGCCGCGUGCAGGAAGAAGGCCUUCGGGUUGUAAACUGCUUUUGUACGGAACGAAACGGCUCUGGUUAAUACCCGGGGCUAAUGACGGUACCGUAAGAAUAAGCACCGGCUAACUACGUG